rnacentral:rRNA from 1 species
CCUACGGGAGGCAGCAGUGAGGAAUAUUGGUCAAUGGACGAGAGCCUGAACCAGCCAAGUAGCGUGAAGGAAGACGGCCCUAUGGGUUGUAAACUUCUUUUACAAAGGAAUAAAACGAGGCACGUGUGCCUCAUCGCAUGUACUUUAUGAAUAAGGAUCGGCUAACUCCGUGCCAGCAGCCGCGGUAAUACGGAGGAUCCGAGCGUUAUCCGGAUUUAUUGGGUUUAAAGGGAGCGUAGAUGGGUUGUUAAGUCAGUUGUGAAAGUUUGCGGCUCAACCGUAUAAUGGCAGUUGAAACUGGCAGUCUUGAGUGCAGGUGAGGUAUGCGGAAUUCGUGGUGUAGCGGUGAAAUGCUUAGAUAUCACGAAGAACCCCGAUUGCGAAGGCAGCUUACU